CCUACGGGUGGCAGCAGUGAGGAAUAUUGGUCAAUGGGCGUAAGCCUGAACCAGCCAUGUCGCGUGAGGGAUGAAGGCUCUAUGGAUCGUAAACCUCUUUUAUAAGGGAAUAAAGUGUGGGACGUGUCCUUUUUUGUAUGUACCUUAUGAAUAAGGAUCGGCUAACUCCGUGCCAGCAGCCGCGGUAAUACGGAGGAUCCGAGCGUUAUCCGGAUUUAUUGGGUUUAAAGGGUGCGUAGGUGGGUUGUUAAGUCAGCGGUGAAAGUUUGUGGCUCAACCAUAAAAUUGCCGUUGAUACUGGCAGGCUUGAGUAUGGUUGAGGCAGGCGGAAUGCGUGGUGUAGCGGUGAAAUGCUUAGAUAUCACGCAGAACUCCGAUUGCGAAGGCAGCCUGCUAAGCUACCACUGACGUUGAUGCACGAAAGUGUGGGUAUCAAACAGGAUUAGAUACCCGGGUAGUC
rnacentral:rRNA from 1 species